rnacentral:rRNA from 1 species
GUUCGGGAAAGAAAUCGUGCGGAUUGUAAUACUCUGUACGGAUGACGGUACCGAAAGAAUAAGCAACCGGCUAACUUCGUGUGCCAGCAGCCGCGGUAAUACGAAGGGUGCAAGCGUUAACUCGGAAUCACCUUGGGCGUAAAGCGUGCGUAGGCGGUUCGUUAAGUCUGCUGUAGAAAGCCCUCUGGGCUCAACCUGGGAACUGCAGUGGAUACUGGCGGACUAGAGAUGUGAUAGCUAGGAUGGUGGAAUUCCCGGUGUAGCGGUGAAAUGCGUAGAGAUCAGGGAGGUCAACACCAGUGGCGAAGGCGGCCAUCUGGAUCAACACUGACGCUGAAGGCAUCCGAAAGCGUGGGGAGCAAACAGGAUUAGAUACCCUGGUAGUCCACGCACCUCAAACGAUGCGAACUGGACGUUGGUUGCAACUUGGCAAUCAGUGUCGAAGACC